CAGCAGCCACGGGAAUACGUAGGUGGCAAGCGUUGUCCGGAAUUAUUGGGCGUAAAGGGCUCGCAGGCGGUUUCUUAAGUCUGAUGUGAAAGCCCCCGGCUCAACCGGGGAGGGUCAUUGGAAACUGGGAAACUUGAGUGCAGAAGAGGAGAGUGGAAUUCCACGUGUAGCGGUGUAAUGCGUAGAGAUGUGGAGGAACACCAGUGGCGAAGGCGACUCUCUGGUCUGUAACUGACGCUGAGGAGCGAAAGCGUGGGGAGCGAACAGGAUUAGAUACCCCAGUAGUCCCUGUCUCUUAUAC
rnacentral:rRNA from 1 species